UAUGGCGACCGGCGCACGGGUGAGUAACACGUAUCCAACCUGCCGAUGACUCGGGGAUAGCCUUUCGAAAGAAAGAUUAAUACCCGAUGGCAUAGUUCUUCCGCAUGGUAGAACUAUUAAAGAAUUUCGGUCAUCGAUGGGGAUGCGUUCCAUUAGGUUGUUGGCGGGGUAACGGCCCACCAAGCCUUCGAUGGAUAGGGGUUCUGAGAGAAAGGUCCCCCACAUUGGAACUGAGACACGGUCCAA
rnacentral:rRNA from 1 species